rnacentral:tRNA from 1 species
AAGGGAGACCUAAUUCAGGUAGGAGACGAAAAAAAGUAGUCGCUACCAAGAAUCAAUCCCAAAAGGUCGGAGCGAGGCGAAAUUGGCUUUCAAACUAGGUUCUGGGUUCAAACAAGACCUGAAUCAGGAACUAGGGCUAUUAGCUCAGGUGGUUAGAGCGCACCCCUGAUAAGGGUGAGGUCCCUGGUUCGAGUCCAGGAUGGCCCACCUGCACAGGUGGCAAAAACAAGAGAAGCGAGGAAUCAGCACCUUAUCUUACUUACAUAGUAAGAGAGAAUGCUGGCUCUGAGUAAAGAGUCCAGAGGAACCUUGAAAACUGCAUAGAGCUAGGUGAAAAAGCCAAAAAAGAAGACCGCAAGGUCAAGCUAAUAAGGGCUAACGGUGGAUACCUAGGCAC